UAAGCGGAGGAAAAGAAACCAACAGGGAUUGCCUCAGUAGCGGCGAGUGAAGCGGCAAAAGCUCAAAUUUGAAAUCUGGCGUCUUUGGCGUCCGAGUUGUAAUUUGAAGAAGGUAUCUUUGGGCCCGGCUCUUGUCUAUGUUCCUUGGAACAGGACGUCACAGAGGGUGAGAAUCCCGUGCGAUGAGAUGACCCGGGUCUGUGUAAAGUUCCUUCGACGAGUCGAGUUGUUUGGGAAUGCAGCUCUAAGUGGGUGGUAAAUUCCAUCUAAAGCUAAAUAUUGGCGAGAGACCGAUAGCGAACAAGUACAGUGAUGGAAAGAUGAAAAGAACUUUGAAAAGAGAGUGAAAAAGUACGUGAAAUUGUUGAAAGGGAAGGGCUUGAGAUCAGACUUGGUAUUUUGCAUGUUGCUCUCUCGGGGGCGGCCGCUGCGGUUUACCGGGCCAGCAUCGGUUUGGAGCGGCAGGAUAAUGGCGGAGGAAUGUGGCACGGCUUCUGCUGUGUGUUAUAGCCUCUGACGAUACUGCCAGCCUAGACCGAGGACUGCGGUUUUUAACCUAGGAUGUUGGCAUAAUGAUCUUAAGUCGCCCGUCUUG
rnacentral:rRNA from 1 species